AGUGAUGAGUGGCUUCACAGUCAGCUCCAGGUUUCAAUCAAUUUGUAACAAAGAGAGCUGACGUGCUCCGAGUCAGAAAAGAUGAAUGCUAAAGAAAACAGCUGAUG